rnacentral:rRNA from 1 species
GAUGAACGCUGGCGGCGUGCUUAACACAUGCAAGUCGAACGAAGCACUUUAAUCGAUUUCUUCGGAUUGAAAUUUUAGUGACUGAGUGGCGGACGGGUGAGUAACGCGUGGGUAACCUGCCUCACACAGGGGGAUAACAGUUGGAAACGGCUGCUAAUACCGCAUAAGCGCACAGUACCGCAUGGUACGGUGUGAAAAACUCCGGUGGUGUGAGAUGGACCCGCGGCUGAUUAGCUAGUUGGCAGGGUAACGGCCUACCAAGGCGACGAUCAGUAGCCGACCUGAGAGGGUGACCGGCCACAUUGGGACUGAGACACGGCCCAAACUCCUACGGGAGGCAGCAGUGGGGAAUAUUGCACAAUGGGGGAAACCCUUAUGCAGCGACGCCGCGUGAGCGAAGAAGUAUUUCGGUAUGUAAAGCUCUAUCAGCAGGGAAGAAGAAAUGACGGUACCUGACUAAGAAGCACCGGCUAAAUACGUGCCAGCAGCCGCAGUAA